AUACGUAGGUGGCAAGCGUUGUCCGGAAUUAUUGGGCGUAAAGCGCGCGCAGGCGGUCCCUUAAGUCUGAUGUGAAAGCCCACGGCUCAACCGUGGAGGGUCAUUGGAAACUGGGGGACUUGAGUGCAGAAGAGGAGAGCGGAAUUCCACGUGUAGCGGUGAAAUGCGUAGAGAUGUGGAGGAACACCAGUGGCGAAGGCGGCUCUCUGGUCUGUAACUGACGCUGAGGCGCGAAAGCGUGGGGAGCAAACAGGAUUAGAUACCCGGGUAGUCCACGCCGUAAACGAUGAGUGCUAAGUGUUAGAGGGGUUAAACCCUUUAGUGCUGUAGCUAACGCGUUAAGCACUCCGCCUGGGGAGUACGGCCGCAAGGCUGAA
rnacentral:rRNA from 1 species